AAACAAUAAAAAUCCUUCAGUUUUUUUUUUACCCUAACCCUCCCUUCCCUCUCUCUUUUUCUCUUCACCCUAAUUCUUCCCGCCGGCCGGCAGCCUUGCGUCACGCCCUCCUCAUCCCUUCUCAACGCCGCGACGCUUCCAUUCUCCGUCCUCCCUCUCGUUUUCCCUCACUCACUAGAAAAACCUUCUCUUUUCCUUUCCAUUGCUCUCCAGUUUGCUCUCCUUCACUCUUGGUUCCUACCGUCCACCGCCACAAACCUACCACCACAUUCACGAACUCACUACCACCAUUCUUCUCUGUUCAUCUUCGUGUCAUCUCUCCUCGUUUCUCAUUUUCCAGCACCAUCCAAAACUCUAUUGACGUCUUCAACUGAAUCAUCGAUUGAUUUUGAUUUUUUUUGCUCAUUUGGCAAAGUUGGUAUGGAUCAUUGAAGACUAGCAUUAGUGAGGCAUUCUGUGAUAUGACAAAUUUGGAAAUCAGGGAAUGAUGAUAUUUUCUCUACAAAGGUUUGUUGUGUUGACAAAGAGUGGAUCAAAUGCAACAUUUCUUCUUGGAAUGGAUUUUGGCUAAGUCCUUAGGAUAUCAUCGUGUACAUUUUAUGAAUGGGUAUCGCGUCCCUCCUUAUGUUUCCUCGUUUGGUUUAUGUUGUAAUGGAUUGGAGUAGGUUUUGCCUUAUUUUUGCUUUGGUUAUCUCGUUUGGUUUUUAUUGUAAUAGGUUGGAACAUUCACUGUACUCAUUUUCAAUAUAUAUAUAGUCUUCCUUACCA